UAGGGAAUCUUCGGCAAUGGACGGAAGUCUGACCGAGCAACGCCGCGUGAGUGAAGAAGGUUUUCGGAUCGUAAAGCUCUGUUGUAAGAGAAGAACGAGUGUGAGAGUGGAAAGUUCACACUGUGACGGUAUCUUACCAGAAAGGGACGGCUAACUACGUGCCAGCAGCCGCGGUAAUACGUAGGUCCCGAGCGUUGUCCGGAUUUAUUGGGCGUAAAGCGAGCGCAGGCGGUUAGAUAAGUCUGAAGUUAAAGGCUGUGGCUUAACCAUAGUACGCUUUGGAAACUGUUUAACUUGAGUGCAAGAGGGGAGAGUGGAAUUCCAUGUGUAGCGGUGAAAUGCGUAGAUAUAUGGAGGAACACCGGUGGCGAAAGCGGCUCUCUGGCUUGUAACUGACGCU
rnacentral:rRNA from 1 species